UACGUAGGGGGCGAGCGUUGUCCGGAUUCAUUGGGCGUAAAGAGCUCGUAGGCGGCUUGGCAAGUCGGGUGUGAAAACUUCAGGCUCAACCUGGAGCGGCCACUCGAUACUGCCAUGGCUUGAGUCCGGUAGGGGACCACGGAAUUCCUGGUGUAGCGGUGAAAUGCGCAGAUAUCAGGAGGAACACCGGUGGCGAAGGCGGUGGUCUGGGCCGGUACUGACGCUGAGGAGCGAAAGCGUGGGGAGCAAACAGG
rnacentral:ncRNA from 2 species